AUUCCCCUAGUAACUGCGAGUGAAGCGGGAAAAGCUCAAAUUUAAAAUCU
rnacentral:rRNA from 1 species